GAGGGGUCAGCUGAGGUGGCUUGGGCAUCUGUUUCGGAUGCCUCCGGAACGCCUUCCUGGGAACGUGUUCCGGUCCCGUCCCACCGGGAAGAGACCCCGGGGAAGACCUAGGACACGCUGGAGGGACUAUGUCUCCCGGCUGGCCUGGGAACGCCUCGGUGUCCCCCCGGAAGAGCUGGAGGAAGUGUCUGGGGAGAGGGAAGUCUGGGCAUCCCUGCUUAGACUGCUGCCCCCGCGACCCGGCCCCGGAUGAGCGGAAGAUGAUGCGAUGCGACAUUCUGUGAUUUUCAAUUAACAACUAUAGAAAAUCAAUCGUGUUCUUUGUUGUUUUUGUUCUGCUGUAUGAAUGCAUUGGGUAUAUAACUGAAAGCCUUCCAAUACAGAACGACAAUCAAAGUUUGAUGACCACAUCAUUACUACUGGAACCUAUAGGUCUUUAAUCCUCCUCAGUACCACAUUAUUACUACUGGAACCUAUAGGUCUUUAAUCCUCCUCAGUACCACAUCAUUACUACUGGAACCUAUAGGUCUUUAAUCCUCCUCAGUACCACAUCAUUACUACUGGAACCUAUAGGUCUUUAAUCCUCAGUACCACAUCAUUACUUGACUCUGUGAUAUUAAUGUCCAUAACCAUGAAUGUCUAGUACUCACCAUGAAGUAUGUAGUUUCCCUGUUUACCUGCUCUGUGUUGCUGUGUUC
ensembl:lncRNA